GAAUCUGGGGUCUAAAUUAAAAAAUAUGGUAUGCAAUUUGUAUUUAACAUGAAUGGAGCUGCAGUUUGUAGACAUAAAUGUGCAGUUAAGACUGAUUUGGGGACUUUUCAGAAAAGAAUCAAGAUUUCAGAUGAUGCAUUAGAGCCGCCAUUCUCAACCUGCGGCCCGCGGGCCGCAUGCGGCCCGGCAAGCCUUUACGUGCGGCCCGGAACGCAUGGACAUCAAUUUACCGAAAACGCGGAUUUUUUCUCCCAUACGCAAAAAAAAUAUAAAUAAAAAUUCUGAUAUUAAUUUUUUUUAAUCUGGAAAAAUUAGAACUAUCCUAAUUUGAUA
rnacentral:lncRNA from 1 species